rnacentral:rRNA from 1 species
GUGGGGAAUAUUGCACAAUGGGGGAAACCCUGAUGCAGCGACGCCGCGUGAGUGAAGAAGUAUUUCGGUAUGUAAAGCUCUAUCAGCAGGAAAGAAAAUGACGGUACCUGACUAAGAAGCCCCGGCUAACUACGUGCCAGCAGCCGCGGUAAUACGUAGGGGGCAAGCGUUAUCCGGAUUUACUGGGUGUAAAGGGAGCGUAGACGGCUAAGCAAGUCUGAAGUGAAAUCCCGGGGCUCAACCCCGGAACUGCUUUGGAAACUGUCUGGCUGGAGUGCAGGAGAGGUAAGUGGAAUUCCUAGUGUAGCGGUGAAAUGCGUAGAUAUUAGGAGGAACACCAGUGGCGAAGGCGGCUUACUGGACUGUAACUGACGUUGAGGCUCGAAGGCGUGGGGAGCAAACAGG